AAUUAAGAAGGAGGUAUUCGUUUUUGGUAGGGCUAUCGAUAAAGUAGGAGGGUGGCAACUCCUACUGGAGUGGCGCCCCCUUCUGCUGAUGUCUUGGCUAUCUAGCUAUUUAAACUAGCCCGGUUCGCUCUGGGUAUGGCUAGGAUGGCCUUGAUAUGUCCAAUGACCCAAUUUCGAGAGAGGGGAAGGGAAUAUGGCGAGAUAUAGGCAUGAUAGGCAAAUUUCUAUAUAGUCGCAGCCAUAUUGUCCCAGCAGACAGAACAUAAAAAUGUUAAAAUAGUGUUUGUGCCGAAAUAUAUAAAAAGGCAACCGGGGUCCCAAUACAAAGGGCCCCGGGAUAUUUAAAUUGGAGGAAUUUAAAUUGGAAGUUCAAAUUAGAAGACUUAAUUGGA